rnacentral:rRNA from 1 species
AGUGAACGCUGGCGGUAGGCGUAACACAUGCAAGUCGAACGGCAGCACAGUAAGAGCUUGCUCUUACGGGUGGCGAGUGGCGGACGGGUGAGGAAUACAUCGGAAUCUACUUUUUCGUGGGGGAUAACGUAGGGAAACUUACGCUAAUACCGCAUACGACCUACGGGUGAAAGCAGGGGAUCUUCGGACCUUGCGCGAUUGAAUGAGCCGAUGUCGGAUUAGCUAGUUGGCGGGGUAAAGGCCCACCAAGGCGACGAUCCGUAGCUGGUCUGAGAGGAUGAUCAGCCACACUGGAACUGAGACACGGUCCAGACUCCUACGGGAGGCAGCAGUGGGGAAUAUUGGACAAUGGGCGCAAGCCUGAUCCAGCCAUACCGCGUGGGUGAAGAAGGCCUUCGGGUUGUAAAGCCCUUUUGUUGGGAAAGAAAAGCAGCAGGUUAAUACCCCGCUGUUCUGACGGUACCCAAAGAAUAAGCACCGGCUAACUUCGUG